UAAUACGGAGGGUGCAAGCGUUGUUCGGAAUUAUUGGGCGUAAAGCGUGGGUAGGUGGUCUCAUUUGUCUGGGGUGAAAUCCUUGAGCUUAACUCAAGAAGUGCCUUGGAAACGGUGGGACUAGAGUCCUAGAGAGGGUCGCAGAAUUCCCGGUGUAGCGGUGAAAUGCGUAGAGAUCGGGAGGAAUACCAGAGGCGAAGGCGGCGACCUGGAUAGGAACUGACACUAAACCACGAAAGCAUGGGUAGCAAACAGG
rnacentral:rRNA from 1 species